rnacentral:rRNA from 1 species
UAGGGAAUAUUAGUAAUGGGCGAAAGCCUGAACUAGCAACGCCGCGUUUGCGAAGAAGGCCUUCGGGUUGUAAAUCACUUUUUGAGAGGAUGAGGAAGGACGGUACUCUCAGAAUAAGUCUCGGCUAACUACGUGCCAGCAGCCGCGUUAACACGUAGGAGGCGAACGUUAUCCGUAUUUACUGGGCGUAAAGCGCGUGUAGGUGGUUUGGUAAGUAGGGCGUGAAAGCUC